rnacentral:rRNA from 1 species
UACGUAGGGUGCAAGCGUUUAAUCGGAAUUACUGGGCGUAAAGCGUGCGCAGGCGGUUGUGCAAGACAGAUGUGAAAUCCCCGGGCUCAACCUGGGAACUGCUUUGUGACUACACGGCUGGAGUGCGGCAGAGGGGGAUGGAAUUCCGGCGUGUAGCAGUGAAAUGCGUAGAUAUGCGGAGGAACACCGAUGGCGAAGGCAAUCCCCUGGGCCUGCACUGACGUCAUGCACGAAAGCUGGGGAG